rnacentral:rRNA from 1 species
CUCUCAGGAUGAACGCUGGCGGCGUGCUUAACACAUGCAAGUCGAACGGUGAAGCCAAGCUUGCUUGGUGGAUCAGUGGCGAACGGGUGAGUAACACGUGAGCAACCUGCCCUGGACUCUGGGAUAAGCGCUGGAAACGGCGUCUAAUACUGGAUAUGAGCUCUCAUCGCAUGGUGGGGGUUGGAAAGAUUUUUUGGUCUGGGAUGGGCUCGCGGCCUAUCAGCUUGUUGGUGAGGUAAUGGCUCACCAAGGCGUCGACGGGUAGCCGGCCUGAGAGGGUGACCGGCCACACUGGGACUGAGACACGGCCCAGACUCCUACGGGAGGCAGCAGUGGGGAAUAUUGCACAAUGGGCGGAAGCCUGAUGCAGCAACGCCGCGUGAGGGAUGACGGCCUUCGGGUUGUAAACCUCUUUUAGCAGGGAAGAAGCGAGAGUGACGGUACCUGCAGAAAAAGCGCCGGCUAACUACGUGCCAGCAGCCGCGGUAAUACGUAGGGCGCAAGCGUUAUCCGGAAUUAUUGGGCGUAAAGAGCUCGUAGGCGGUUUGUCGCGUCUGCUGUGAAAUCCCGAGGCUCAACCUCGGGCCUGCAGUGGGUACGGGCAGACUAGAGUGCGGUAGGGGAGAUUGGAAUUCCUGGUGUAGCGGUGGAAUGCGCAGAUAUCAGGAGGAACACCGAUGGCGAAGGCAGAUCUCUGGGCCGUAACUGACGCUGAGGAGCGAAAGGGUGGGGAGCAAACAGGCUUAGAUACCCUGGUAGUCCACCCCGUAAACGUUGGGAACUAGUUGUGGGGACCAUUCCACGGUUUCCGUGACGCAGCUAACGCAUUAAGUUCCCCGCCUGGGGAGUACGGCCGCAAGGCUAAAACUCAAAGGAAUUGACGGGGACCCGCACAAGCGGCGGAGCAUGCGGAUUAAUUCGAUGCAACGCGAAGAACCUUACCAAGGCUUGACAUACACCAGAACACCGUAGAAAUACGGGACUCUUUGGACACUGGUGAACAGGUGGUGCAUGGUUGUCGUCAGCUCGUGUCGUGAGAUGUUGGGUUAAGUCCCGCAACGAGCGCAACCCUCGUUCUAUGUUGCCAGCACGUAAUGGUGGGAACUCAUGGGAUACUGCCGGGGUCAACUCGGAGGAAGGUGGGGAUGACGUCAAAUCAUCAUGCCCCUUAUGUCUUGGGCUUCACGCAUGCUACAAUGGCCGGUACAAAGGGCUGCAAUACCGUGAGGUGGAGCGAAUCCCAAAAAGCCGGUCCCAGUUCGGAUUGAGGUCUGCAACUCGACCUCAUGAAGUCGGAGUCGCUAGUAAUCGCAGAUCAGCAACGCUGCGGUGAAUACGUUCCCGGGUCUUGUACACACCGCCCGUCAAGUCAUGAAAGUCGGUAACACCUGAAGCCGGUGGCCUAACCCUUGUGGAGGGAGCCGUCGAAGGUGGGAUCGGUAAUUAGGACUAAGUCUA